GUAGCUAGUUCAGUUGGUUACAGCAUGGUGCUGCUAAUGCCAAGAGCACAGGUUCGAUUCCCUCAUGGGCUACC